rnacentral:rRNA from 1 species
GGGGGAAUUUUGGACAAUGGGCGAAAGCCUGAUCCAGCAAUACCGCGUGCAGGAAGAAGGCCUUCGGGUUGUAAACUGCUUUUGUACGGAACGAAAAGGUCUGCCUUAAUACGGUGGGCUCAUGACGGUACCGUAAGAAUAAGCACCGGCUAACUACGUG